rnacentral:rRNA from 1 species
AGUGAACGCUGGCGGUAGGCCUAACACAUGCAAGUCGAACGGCAGCACAGUAAGAGCUUGCUCUUACGGGUGGCGAGUGGCGGACGGGUGAGGUAUACAUCGGAAUCUACUUUUUCGUGGGGGAUAACGUAGGGAAACUUACGCUAAUACCGCAUACGACCUACGGGUGAAAGCAGGGGAUCUUCGGACCUUGCGCGAUUGAAUGAGCCGAUGUCGGAUUAGCUAGUUGGCGGGGUAAAGGCCCACCAAGGCGACGAUCCGUAGCUGGUCUGAGAGGAUGAUCAGCCACACUGGAACUGGGACACGGUCCAGACUCCUACGGGAGGCAGCAGUGGGGAAUAUUGGACAAUGGGCGCAAGCCUGAUCCAGCCAUACCGCGUGGGUGAAGAAGGCCUUCGGGUUGUAAAGCCCUUUUGUUGGGAAAGAAAAGCAGCAGGUUAAUACCCCGCUGUUCUGACGGUACCCAAAGAAUAAGCACCGGCUAACUUCGUG